rnacentral:misc_RNA from 1 species
CGAACUACCAUUGAAUUUUGUGUUUGGUUUCAUCAUGCGACUCUUUAACUUUUUCAUCUUCCUUGGAAUUAACUGCGAGCCAUGUCAUGCAGCAAUGGUGGAUGAUGCUAUGAUGUAUGGAUGCAUACACCUUUUCCUACAGUUUCUGCAUCUGUCUGGAAUAUUCUUCCCCGUUGUGAUAAUGAAUUUAUUUUCUCAUUUUAGCAGCAUCCACGUAAUCACCACAUUAUCUGUUAAUAUCUCAUGUUUACAUUUCUUAACCUUUUUCCUUUGCC